GAGUACUGAGAGGUUAAGUGCCUUUUUGAGGUAACAGAGGAAAGAUUGAUCCCGGUUCUUCCUAGAUUUGAGGUGAACUCUGUACCUAUUCUACCACUCGUUCAUUUAAAAAGACACAUAUUUUAAACAAAGAAAUGUGCUCCUAAGCUGAAGCAUGUUUGAGGCAUGAUGUCACACACAGUACGUGUUUUUGUUUGCAUGGAACAGGAUCUUUUGACAUUGCCAGAGAGCAGAAGAAUGAGGAAACAAAUCACAGCAGACAGGAUCAGAAGGAUUCCAAGUGGAGGCACUUAAACCAGCAGGAAGUUACCUAUGUUCUUGAGUGUGUUUAUAAAUUAAAUAUGUCCACAAAUCUGGAGCUCCACAAAACUGAAGAAAUAAUCAUUCAACUGCAAAACCAUUUACUCAAUUUAACAGACCAAUUUCUUUCUAUGGAAACUACUAUUGAGUCUCUGGUCCAUUCUGGCGAUCCUCAGCACCUUGUUGAUGAGAGACUGAACAUACUGGAGAAACAGUUGGAAAAUACCACCAUGGCUUUGACCAACCUUCAAAAACACCUUGAAGAGGGCCUGGACACAGCUUCUGAACAGAUUUCCCAUCUUAAAGAUGGCUUCUACUUUCUGGAAGAUUCCAAGAAUCACACCAGUACAGAUUCUGACGGACCAUACCUCUCACCAGCUAAUCCCUCACAAAAAACGAAACUGAAAGUCUUUACUCCAUGGCUGCCUUUCAUGAAAUCCAGCCCAAAUUAUGACAUUUCUGUGCCAGAAUCAACCUCACAAAUUCCUGAAGAAGAUACAACGGAUUCAGAGACACCUCGAGGGAAAACCAAGUUAAACAUCUCAUUCAUAAAGACUCUCACAGGUUGACUGACUAAUGACACACAAGUGUACUUCACUAAAUGAAGAGGAAAGAGAUUUUUUAGAUAAAGUUUCUUCCAGACAACUGAAGUAUCAAGUCCAAACUAGAGAUCUACUGUUAAAAAAAAAAGAUCACGUAUAACCAUAAACGAUCCCGGAAAUAAAACAAUCUUCUCCAACUUAGGAUAGCA
rnacentral:lncRNA from 1 species